rnacentral:rRNA from 1 species
AUCAUUACUAGAGUGGCUGUAUUCUGUGCUUCUCUUCGGAGACGCGAAGCUACCCGACCUGAUGUCAUUUUAUCCCGAGGGCGCGCCCGCUUGAGAAGACAGCGGUUUGACGUUGUGGUGUUACCCGGACGAGGCGCUUGUCUCGUAAGGGGAAGCUUCCGGGUCGGGCCGUGGCGCGUCCUUGGCACAACUUUCCGCGGAAGUGGUAGGCGUUGACUUGCCCGCCGCGGGCCAUACUUUUCACAACUCUCGAAGAAAACCUGAAGUCUGAAUACCAAAACAAAAACGAAAAGCAAAACUUUCAACAACGGAUCUCUUGGCUCUGGCAACGAUGAAGAACGCAGCGAAACGCGAAAGGUAAUGCGAAUUGCAGAAUCAGUGAGUCAUCGAAUCUUUGAACGCACAUUGCGCCUCUCGGUAUUCCGGGAGGCACGCCUGUUCGAGCGCCAUUACAAACUCCAAGCGUGGCUUGAUGUUGGGCGAUGUCUUUUUGCGAGAGCGGGAGACACGCCUGGAACGCGUUGGCGCCGCCGCCGGACCACGAGCGUAGCAAGACGAGAGUCAAUCGCAUCGAUUUGGUUUCCGACGGAGGUCCGCCUUGUGACUGCACUUUCGAGUGUAGUUGAAAAACUUCUCAAGUUUGGCCUCGGAUCAGGCGGGAUACCCGCUGACAU